rnacentral:rRNA from 1 species
CCCUUAGAGUUUGAUCCUGGCUCAGAUUGAACGCUGGCGGCGUGCUAAACACAUGCAAGUCGAGCGGCAGCGGGCCCGCAAGGGUGCCGGCGAGCGGCGGACGGGUGAGCAAUACAUAGGAAUCUGCCUCAGAGCGGGGGAUAGCCAGGGGAAACCCUGAUUAAUACCGCAUGACGUCGAGAGACCAAAGUGGGGGAUCGUAAGACCUCACACUCUGAGAUGAGCCUAUGUCGGAUUAGCUAGUUGGCGGGGUAACGGCCCACCAAGGCGACGAUCCGUAGCUGGUCUGAGAGGACGAUCAGCCACACCGGAACUGAGACACGGUCCGGACUCCUACGGGAGGCAGCAGUGGGGAAUAUUGGACAAUGGGCGAAAGCCUGAUCCAGCGACGCCGCGUGGGUGAAGAAGGCCUUCGGGUUGUAAAGCCCUUUAAGCCGGGACGAAAAAGCUGCACCUAACACGUGCGGCCUUGACGGUACCGGAAGAAUAAGCACCGGCUAACUCUGUGCCAGCAGCCGCGGUAAUACAGAGGGUGCGAGCGUUAAUCGGAUUUACUGGGCGUAAAGCGUGUGUAGGUGGCUUCCUAAGUCGGUUGUGAAAUCCCUGGGCUCAACCUGGGAAUUGCAGUCGAUACUGGGAAGCUCGAGUUCGGUAGAGGACGGCGGAAUUCCCGGUGUAGCGGUGA